rnacentral:rRNA from 1 species
UGAGGAAUAUUGGACAAUGGGCGCAAGCCUGAUCCAGCCAUGCCGCGUGCAGGAUGACGGUCCUAUGGAUUGUAAACUGCUUUUGUACAGGAAGAAACAGUUCUACGUGUAGAACCUUGACGGUACUGUAAGAAUAAGGAUCGGCUAACUCCGUGCCAGCAGCCGCGGUAAUACGGAGGAUCCAAGCGUUAUCCGGAAUCAUUGGGUUUAAAGGGUCCGUAGGCGGUUAGAUAAGUCAGUGGUGAAAGCCCAUCGCUCAACGGUGGAACGGCCAUUGAUACUGUCUGACUUGAAUUAUUAGGAAGUAACUAGAAUAUGUAGUGUAGCGGUGAAAUGCUUAGAGAUUACAUGGAAUACCAAUUGCGAAGGCAGGUUACUACUAAUGGAUUGACGCUGAGGCACGAAAGCGUGGGUAGCGAACAGGAUUAGAUACCCUUGUAGUCCCUGAGCGGGCUGGCAAGGCGCAU